GCUGUGUGACUGGCGGAAAUAAGUGGCAGAAAGCUACGGGGAGCACAGCAAAAUAUAUAUUUAGCCGACCGCCUGGGCAGCCU
rnacentral:ncRNA from 1 species